AAGAAAUUUAAUAAUUUUGAAAAUGGAUUUUUUUGUUUUGGCAAGAGCAUGAGAGCUUUUACUGGGCAAGAAGACAAGAGAUGGAGAGUCCAGCCGGGCCUGCGCUUAAGUGCGCGGUCUUGCUAGGCUUGUAAGUUUCUUUCUUGCUAUUCCAAACGGUGAGAGAUUUCUGUGCUUUUGUUAUAGGACAAUUAAAACCGUUUCAAUACAACACACUGUGGAGUUUUCAUAUCUUUGCAACUUUUUCUUUGGGCAUUCGAGCAAUCGGGGCCCAAAGGUAACAAACACAAACAAUUUUAUUUAUUCAUUAAAUUUUUGUCAAAAACAAGAAUUUUCGUAACUGGAAAUUUUAAAAUAUUAAAAACUUUCAACAACGGAUCUCUUGGUUCUCGCAUCGAUGAAGAACGCAGCGAAAUGCGAUACGUAAUGUGAAUUGCAGAAUUCCGUGAAUCAUCGAAUCUUUGAACGCACAUUGCGCCCCUUGGUAUUCCAGGGGGCAUGCCUGUUUGAGCGUCAUUUCCUUCUCAAACAUUCUGUUUGGUAGUGAGUGAUACUCUUUGGAGUUAACUUGAAAUUGCUGGCCUUUUCAUUGGAUGUUUUUUUUUCCAAAGAGAGGUUUCUCUGCGUGCUUGAGGUAUAAUGCAAGUACGGUCGUUUUAGGUUUUACCAACUGCGGCUAAUCUUUUUUAUACUGAGCGUAUUGGAACGUUAUCGAUAAGAAGAGAGCGUCUAGGCGAACAAUGUUCUUAAAGU
rnacentral:misc_RNA from 1 species